UACGGAGGGUGCAAGCGUUGUCCGGAAUUAUUGGGCGUAAAGGGCUCGUAGGCGGUCCGUCACGUCGGGAGUGAAAACUCGGAGCUCAACUCCGAGCCUGCUUCCGAUACGGGCAGACUAGAGGUAGGCAGGGGAGAGCGGAACUCCUGGUGUAGCGGUGGAAUGCGCAGAUAUCAGGAAGAACACCCGUGGCGAAGGCGGCUCUCUGGGACGGUACUGACGCUGAGACGCGAAAGCGUGGGGAGCGAACAGG
rnacentral:rRNA from 1 species